rnacentral:rRNA from 1 species
AGCGAACGCUGGCGGCAGGCCUAACACAUGCAAGUCGAACGGAUCCUUCGGGAUUAGUGGCGGACGGGUGAGUAACACGUGGGAACGUGCCCUUUGGUUCGGAACAACUCAGGGAAACCUGAGCUAAUACCGGAUGUGCCCUUCGGGGGAAAGAUUUAUCGCCAUCGGAGCGGCCCGCGUCUGAUUAGCUAGUUGGUGAGGUAAAGGCUCACCAAGGCGACGAUCAGUAGCUGGUCUGAGAGGAUGAUCAGCCACAUUGGGACUGAGACACGGCCCAAACUCCUACGGGAGGCAGCAGUGGGGAAUCUUGCGCAAUGGGCGAAAGCCUGACGCAGCCAUGCCGCGUGAAUGAUGAAGGUCUUAGGAUUGUAAAAUUCUUUCACCGGGGACGAUAAUGACGGUACCCGGAGAAGAAGCCCCGGCUAACUUCGUGCCAGCCGCCGCGGUAAAAC